UGAACGCUGGCGGUAUGCCUAACACAUGCAAGUCGUACGAGGGUUUUUAACUCUAGUGGCGGACGGGUGAGUAACACGUGAGAAUUUGCCUUUAGGAGGGGGAUAACAAUCGGAAACGAAUGCUAAUACCCCAUAUGCUUUCGAGUGAAACGGAUUUAUCCGCCUAAAGAGAAGCUCGCGGCUGAUUAGCCUGUUGGUAAGGUAAGAGCUUACCAAGGCGACGAUCAGUAUCUGGUUUGAGAGGACGAUCAGACACACUGGAACUGAGACACGGUCCAGACUCCUACGGGAGGCAGCAGUGGGGAAUUUUGGACAAUGGGCGCAAGCCUGAUCCAGCCAUGCCGCGUGAGUGAAGAA
rnacentral:rRNA from 1 species